UGGGGAAUAUUGCGCAAUGGGGGAAACCCUGACGCAGCGACGCCGCGUUCGGGAUGAAGGCCUUCGGGUUGUAAACCGCUUUUGAUUGGGAGCAAGCUUUCGGGUGAGUGUACCUUUCGAAUAAGCGCCGGCUAACUACGUGCCAGCAGCCGCGGUCAUACGUAGGGCGCAAUCGUUAUCCGGAAUUAUUGGUCGUAAAGAGCUUGUAGGCGGUUCGUCGCGUCUGGUGUGAAAGCCCAUCGCUUAACGGUGGGUUUGCGCCGGGUACGGGCGGGCUAGAGUGCAGUAGGGGAGACUGGAAUUCCCGGUGUAACGGUGGAAUGUGUAGAUAUCGGGAAGAACACCAAUGGCGAAGGCAGGUCUCUGGGCUGUUACUGACGCUGAGAAGCGAAAGCGUGGGGAGCGAACAGG
rnacentral:rRNA from 1 species